UACGGGGGGGGCAAGCGUUGUUCGGAAUUACUGGGCGUAAAGGGUUUGUAGGUGGCUUGCUAAGUCAGACGUGAAAUCCCUCAGCUUAACUGGGGAACUGCGUCUGAGACUGGUGGGCUUGAGUGCAGGAGAGGAACGCGGAAUUCCAGGUGUAGCGGUGAAAUGCGUAGAUAUCUGGAGGAACACCGGUGGCGAAGGCGGCGUUCUGGACUGUUACUGACACUGAGGAACGAAAGCCAGGGGAGCAAACGGG
rnacentral:rRNA from 1 species